UACGUAGGGUGCAAGCGUUAAUCGGAAUUACUGGGCGUAAAGCGUGCGCAGGCGGUUCUGUAAGACAGUUGUGAAAUCCCCGGGCUCAACCUGGGAACUGCAUCUGUGACUGCAUAGCUAGAGUACGGUAGAGGGGGAUGGAAUUCCGCGUGUAGCAGUGAAAUGCGUAGAUAUGCGGAGGAACACCGAUGGCGAAGGCAAUCCCCUGGACCUGUACUGACGCUCAUGCACGAAAGCGUGGGGAGCAAACAGG
rnacentral:rRNA from 1 species